UGAUCCGGCGGUUCCGUAUGGAAGGGCCGUCGCUCAACGGAUAAAAGCUACCCCGGGGAUAACAGGCUGAUCUGGUCCAAGAGUCCACAUCGACGACCAGGUUUGGCACCUCGAUGUCGGCUCAUCGCAUCCUGGGGCUGAAGUAGGUCCCAAGGGUUGGGCUGUUCGCCCAUUAAAGCGGUACGCGAGCUGGGUUCAAUACGUCGUGAGACAGUAUGGUCCUAAUCCGUCGUGGGCGUAAGGAUAUUUGAGAGGAGCUGCUCCUAGUACGAGAGGGCCGGAGUGGACAAACCUCUGAUGUACCAGUUGUGGCACCAGCCGCAUUAGCUGGGUAGUCAAGUUUGGAAGGGAUAAAUACUGAAAGCAUAUAAGUAUGAAGCCCCCCUCAAGAUUAGAUAUCCAAUCCUGAAGGUUUUCAGUGCCCUUUGGGGUAUUGAUUUCUGGAGGGAGUAAGACCUCUCCGAGAAGAGGAGGUUGAUAGGCCAGGGGUGUAAGGCCCAUAAGGGUUUUAGCUGACUGGUACUAAUAGGUCGAGGGCUUAACCAC
rnacentral:ncRNA from 1 species